UACGUAGGAGGCAAGCGUUGUCCGGAAUUAUUGGGCGUAAAGAGCGUGUAGGCGGUCCGGUAAGUCGGCUGUGAAAGUCCAGGGCUCAACCCUGGGAUGCCGGUCGAUACUGCCGGACUAGAGUUCGGAAGAGGCGAGUGGAAUUCCCGGUGUAGCGGUGAAAUGCGCAGAUAUCGGGAGGAACACCUAUGGCGAAGGCAGCUCGCUGGGACGUUACUGACGCUGAGACGCGAAAGCGUGGGGAGCAAACAGG
rnacentral:rRNA from 1 species